rnacentral:lncRNA from 13 species
AUGGCUGGGAGUUGGAUGUUAGAGACAAUGUGUCCCCCUGACUGGACUCCUUUGAUGAGGGUGUCAGCGGUCAGUGGAACCCAGCGGUGGCCUCUCUCCUCAUCAGAGGAGCUGAUGUCAACACCAGGACAAGGAUGGGAAGACGCCACUUAUGGUACACUCCAAACACUUCUUCACAAACUUCUGUUGUGCCACAAAAGAGGUUACUCAUGGUGCAAACUCAUCGAGAUACAACAACGUUGUCUGCUAGGUGGCAGUGUUGAACCCCCACGAGUUGCUGGUGCAGUUGUUGUUGGACAGGGCCGACCACGAUGUGAAGAACGAGUUUGGGCCAGGGGCAGCUGAAAUAGCAAAGGCCUUUGGGAGAGAGAAUUUCAUCAGUUUAUUAGAAGGACAGAAGAGUAUCGUCAGAGAUGGUACAGUCCAUUAGUAAAGGGCUUAGGUGGACAGCGUAAUUUUUCCCCCUAAUUUCUAAAAGCUUUAUUAUCGUUGCUUAUUUUUUUUAACACAUUGUAUGUAUGUAUCUAAACCUGCAUUUUUACCUGGAUAUUUGUUUUGCGUAACAAAAGGUUUAACCGUGUGAGAUUUUUAUGGAUAAAUGAAAUAAUAAACCAUCAAGAAUAACCUCAAGACACAAAGGAUUGACUUGGUUUCGCUUUACUGUACAGAUGUCUGAUGAAACCUCAUCCUACGAGAGGGAGACACAUUUCACAUUGCUGUGCCAAUGAGUCAUGUAAAAUUAUUUGGAAUAAUGUGUUUGUGUCAAGUCUUCUGCCUACAUUCGCCUGGACAGUCAGCAAAAUAAACGCAUUUAAAUCAAAUGAACAGCAUAAGAGAAAUCUCAUUUAUUUGGCUCUGCAAUAAUGUUCAAGUACUCCAACUGCUCCAGAAUCCAAUCUUUUACCAUAAUCCUCAUUCCAAAUGGAGUUCAAUAAAAAAAAAACCACAUGUUUUAUUGAACAGGAGAAGCCAUCACUUUGUGGUUCUCACUGCUCUUGUAAAAUAAAAUACUGAUUGCUGACAGACACUAUAUUUACACUAACUGUACAAUGGCUUUUAACUUGAAAAUGUAAGAGUGAAACAAAAAAUACAGUACAUUUGUAGAAAGCAACUUUUACAAGUGAAUAGACCUGAAGAUCUGACAAAUGCUGACAUCAGAUAGCAGUUGAUCUAAAUCUGUAAAAAAGGAACAUAGACAGUGAUGACUAAAAGUGUAAAUGCAACUACACAAUGCAAGUCUGAUGAGUAGCGAGUAGUGCAUUCCACACUAUUGAGCGACAAGACAUACACUGCAUUAUGAGUACACACACAUGCAUCCAUUUAAUUAAAGCACAACAGUAUAUUGGUGAUCACGAUACAUUGCAGACCAGGUUUGAUAUGUUGUUUUACAACCUACAAUAAUGCAACAUGUGCCCCUGUUUGGUGCUGUACUGAAUACUUUUUAAUGUAAAAUAUCCCCCCUGUUGAAACAACCUUACAAAGUAGUUAUGAGAGUGAGGUCAUAACUUCAUAUGGUAAGCUUGCUGUUAACAUACACACACGCAGGCAUGCACGCACACACACACACCCCGUGCCAUGCCAGAGGACUGAGCAGUAUGAUAAACACUCUUACUCAGCACCCAUCAGAGCUAUAUUUAAUGAACCAUAUUGUGGCCAAGACAUUAUGUACCCACAGUCUCUACUUUAAUUUGGACAACAUUUUAAUGUAUUGAAAAUCAAUUGUGUCACUUAGUCCGCAAAUUAAAAUAAAGUAAAGUUUAAAGGGAAAAGAACAGGACAUUAAGUACAGCUAUUGGAUGUAUUUGCUGUAAGACUGUAAUGUUUCAAAGGACAAAUUCAACUUAAUUGGAAUUGUCUUGAAAACCUCAAGGAGAGUUAUGUGCCAAUGUGUGAGACCGAGCUCCAAUAGUAAAUGAAUAAUGAUAACCAUGAGGUCAAGUACCGGCAAUUACCUCGUAAAGUAAAACCACUUUGGCAUACUUUUGUCUGAGUAAACUUUGAAAAGAUAAAAAUGAAUAAAACAUUGGACACCAUCUAAGUGGGGUUUGGACUCUUCACAACACUGAAGUCAUCUUGACACCACAGCAUCAAGUGAGUUGAAGUGUUGCACGCUCCUCCACCAGCCGUUAUAUUGCAUUAUUUGGUGUUGCUGUGAUUCUCUGGAACCCAGCAGUCAGCUCAUUUUAGACUCUCCUGGCCCCGCUGGGAGCAUUACGUAUUGCACAACUGCCAGCAAAUACUCCAAACUGUGUGUAA